GACGUAGGGCGCGAGCGUUGUCCGGAUUUAUUGGGCGUAAAGAGCUCGUAGGCGGCUUGUCGCGUCGACUGUGAAAUCCCGCGGCUCAACUGCGGGUCUGCAGUCGAUACGGGCAGGCUAGAGUUCGGUAGGGGAGACUGGAAUUCCUGGUGUAGCGGUGAAAUGCGCAGAUAUCAGGAGGAACACCGGUGGUGUAGACGGCUCUCUGGACCGUAACUGACGCUGAGGCACGAAAGCGUGGGUAGCAAACAGG
rnacentral:rRNA from 1 species